rnacentral:rRNA from 1 species
GCGAGAAAACUUUGCAAUGUGCGAAAGCACGACAAGGUUAAUCCGAGUGGUUUCUGCUAAAGAAACCUUUUGUCAGUCCUAGAAACACUAACGAAUAAGGGGUGGGCAAGUUCUGGUGUCAGCCGCCGCGGUAAAACCAGCACCUCAAGUGGUCAGGAUGAUUAUUGGGCCUAAAGCAUCCGUAGCUCGUUUUGUAAGUUUUCGGUUAAAUCCAUGCGCUUAACGUAUGGGCUGCCGGGAAUACUGCAUAACUAGGAAGUGGGAGAGGUAGACGGUACUCGGUAGGAAGGGGUAAAAUCCUUUGAUCUAUUGAUGACCACCUGUGGCGAAGGCGGUCUACCAGAACACGUUCGACGGUGAGGGAUGAAAGCUGGGGGAGCAAACCGGAUUAGAUACCCACGUAGUCCCUGAGCGGGCUGGCAAGGCGCAU